CACGUGGUUAGCCGGGGCUUCUUACUCAGGUACUGUCAUUUUCUUCCCUGCUGAUAGAGCUUUACAUACCGAAAUACUUCUUCACUCACGCGGCGUCGCUGCAUCAGGGUUUCCCCCAUUGUGCAAUAUCCCCCACUGCUGCCUCCCGUAGGAGUUUGGGCCGUGUCUCAGUCCCAAUGUGGCCGGUCACCCUCUCAGGCCGGCUACUGAUCGUCGGCUUGGUGAGCCCUUACCUCACCAACUACCUAAUCAGACGCGGGUCCAUCUUGUACCACCGGAGUUUUUCACACCGAGGCAUGCGCCUCUGUGCGCUUAUGCGGUAUUAGCAGCCGUUCCUAGCUGUUACUUCCCCUCGUACUAACGGCAGGUUACCCACGCGGUUACUCCACCCGUCCGCCACUAAGUUUGUCUCUUCCUUCCGAGAAUCCAACACAAAACCCCGUACGUACUGUCACUGUGUUAAGCACGCCGCCA
rnacentral:rRNA from 1 species